rnacentral:lncRNA from 1 species
UUAAAAGAGAAUAGUUAUUUUCAUAAAUGCCUAAAUUUGGAAAUUUCAACACGUGCCAUGAAUAUCUGUAAAAUUCGGUUUACUCCUUGCAGCUGAAUGUAGCAGCAGUGUCUGUAGUGUAGUGGUUAUCACGUUCGCUUUACACGUGAAAGGUCCUCAGUUUGAAACCGGGAGGAAACAGUGCUCUUUGACAUGUGCAGUAGGUACUGUACUAUUAACAGAGAAUAGUUAUUUUCAUAAAUGCCUAAUUUUGGAAAUUUGAACACGUGCCAUGAAUAUCUGUAAAAUUCGGUUUACUCCUCACAGCUAAAUGUAGCAGCAGUUUCUGUAGUGUAGUGGUUAUCACGUUUGUUCACACGCGAAAGGUCUCUGGUUCGAAACCAGGCGGAAACAACGCUCAUUGACACAUACUGAAGUGCCAUAGUGGUAACAGAAAAUUUCAUGAGUUCUUUAUUUUGGAAAUUCGAAUACGUGCCAUGAAUAUUUUUAAAAUUCGGUUUACUCCUUGCAGAAAAAUCAAGCAGCAGUUUCUGUAGUGUAGUGGUUAUCACGUUAGCUUUACACGUGAAAGGUCCUCAGUUUGAAACUGGGAGGAAACAGUGCUCUUUGACACGUGCAGUAGGUACAGUACUUUUAAAAGAGAAUAGUUAUUUUCAUAAAUGCCUAAAUUUGGAAAUUUCAACACGUGCCAUGAAUAUCUGUAAAAUUCGGUUUACUCCUUGCAGCUAAAUGUAGCAGCAGUUUCUGUAGUGUAGUGGUUAUCACGUUAGCUUUACACGUGAAAGGUCCUCAGUUUGAAACCAGGAGGAAACACUGCUCUUUGACAUGUGCAGUAGGUACUGUACUAUUAACAGAGAAUAGUUAUUUUCAUAAAUGCCUAAUUUUGGAAAUUUGAACACGUGCCAUGAAUAUCUGUAAAAUUCGGUUUACUCCUUGCAGAUAAUUGUUGAAGCAGUUUCUGUAGUGUAGCGGUUAUCACGUUCGCUUAACACGCGAAAGGUCCUCGG